rnacentral:sRNA from 1 species
UAUCUCUCCGUACGGGGAAGGAUGAGAAGCUUCGACUAAGGUUCGAUUCGAGCGCAGCGAGAAAACGUUGCCGCA